CUCACUAGGAAAUAUCCUCCUCCAAAAGGUGUGUUAGACUUCUCUUUCACCAUGUUUUUGAAAUAAAAUGGCAGGUGUCAUUCACAAGAACAGUUAUUUUUGUCUUUUUCUUUAUCCCUGCCAUAGCAGUGCGAAGAAAACCCCUGGAUAAACACAGAGAAAACUUUAUAGUGUAAUAUUAGGGUAAGAAAAUUUGCUUAUUUCAUUUUUUUGACUUUUGCAUACAUCACAAGCAUUUGGGGGGUUUUGGAUACUGUGAGAAACUUGUUUUCUUUGAACUUGACUUGAAGCUACCUCAAGUCAAGGGUGAUUCCAAAGCUGUUAGGCAGGAAUGAGGUGUUCCCAAUAUCAGGCAAGCCAGAUCUACAAACUGAGCACCAGGACAUCCCAACAUCAGCUUCUGGGUUUCCAAGCCUGGUUCUCAGAGUACCAAAAAGUGCUCUUAAAGAUGCCUAAUGGAGAAUCAGACAAUAAAAUCUACAAAAGCCUCCUAAAGAACAGGCCAAGACAAAGAUCAGGACCAAAGGAUUAGUCUCCUUGACAGCUGUAGUAAAAGAAAGAUUUCUCAUAGCAGAAUACUGCAGGGAACACUUGAACAUCAAGGGCAUUUGGGAGCAUGUAAGACUUGAUUUCUGGUCUUUAUGCAUAUAACAUAAUGAAUGGUUUAUCCAAAAGAACACUAAUACAAGGAGACAUUGGUUUACAGGACUAGAAGGGCAUAAACUCACAAAAAAAAACCCCCAAAAAAACCUGGUGAUUAGCAAAGAUGGGCACAGUAAAGGACUGUUACUUAAAUAAAAAGUAAAAUUGUAUGAACUGAGAAAUGUUUCUGUGUGAAAGACAGCUAAAACUAGUUUAGCUGAACUUAAAAGAUAUCUGGAAUUUAAUCAAGUGCCCUAUAACAAGCAGAAUGCUCCAAAGGUAGAAGGCAUUUAAAAUUAUGCUAGUUGAGCUGCUGGGAAAGCCUUUGUCCCUGAAAGAAUGGCCUCAGGUUGAGACAAUCAGGAAUGGUAUAAAUGAGCCCAUGAUAUGGAAACCUGGUAGUCUUGGGAGCUGACUAAGCCAGAGGCAAAGCAACUCAUCCAAGAGACUGCACGUUUUUGUUAGACUCUAUUCACAGAGUAACAAAGGAUUAUAUAAGUGAGGAAUAAAAGAAGUUUAUUUGAAGAGUAAAAUAAUAGCGGAUGAUCAGAGGUCUUCUUUUAAAUUUGAAAGAGAAAUUAUCUUUGCCUCUCAUGCUUAGGGACUACACUAGCUUUCCACCUGCUUAAAAAAGAUAUAUUAAGAAAGAGUAGAAUAUCCCAGAGCUAUACUCUCAGAAACUCCAGAAUUUCAAGAAACGGGAUAGGUUAAUUUCAAUAUAUUAUAUCCCUUUUGUGGGAAUCCAGGGCUUCCCUCUGGCUGCCCUGGCAGGUCUGGGACCCUGGCAGGGGUCAGGAACCCCCCUGGACAGAGCCCCCAGAGACACUGGCUGUGAUCUCUAUCCAUGGAAAAAAGUUUUCAAUCUCACAGGAUGAAUUACAAGCUCUGAGUGUUUGAUAUGAGUAAUAAUUAAGUGUGGCACAGGUGCAAAAGUAAAAUUUUAGGAUUCUAGAUUAGGGGUCCAAAGGGGACAAGAUGGAGGAAACUGGGUGUGCCUUGUCCUUUUUCUCCUUCUUCAUGCCCUCCAUGUU
ensembl:lncRNA